rnacentral:snRNA from 1 species
GGAUGUGAGGGUGAUCUGGCUGCGACAUCUGUCACCCCAUUGAUCGCCAGGGUUGAUUCGACUGAUCUGGCUGGCUAGGCAGGUGUCUGUCCCCUUCCUCCCUCACCGCUCCAUGUGUGUCCCUGCUGAAGCUGUGCGCUCUGUUGAAGAGGACGGCCUUCCCCAAAUAGAGAUGGACUGGUCCUUGGUAGAGUGUCUACGAGUAGCUGCGCUCCCCUGCUAGGACCUUUAAAUAAAGUUCUCUGCAUCCACAGCUACAUGAAGAGCAGCUAUGUUGGCAGCUCCCUCAUGGGGGGAUAGUGC